rnacentral:rRNA from 1 species
UACGUAGGGCGCAAGCGUUAUCCGGGAUUAUUGGGCGUAAAGAGCUCGUAGGCGGUUUGUCGCGUCUGCCGUGAAAGUCCGGGGCUUAACUCCGGAUCUGCGGUGGGUACGGGCAGACUAGAGUGCAGUAGGGGAGACUGGAAUUCCUGGUGUAGCGGUGAAAUGCGCAGAUAUCAGGAGGAACACCGAUGGCGAAGGCAGGUCUCUGGGCUGUAACUGACGCUGAGGAGCGAAAGCAUGGGGAGCGAACAGG